rnacentral:rRNA from 1 species
ACCGGCGGCUCGAGUGGUGGCCACUAUUACUGGGCUUAAAGCGUUCGUAGCUGGCUUGUUAAGUCUCUGGGGAAAUCUUCCGGCUCAAACGGAAGGCGUCUCAGGGAUACUGGCAGGCUAUGGACCGGAAGAGGUGAGAGGUACUCCAGGGGUACGAGUGAAAUCCAGUAAGCCUAGGGGGACCACCUGUGGCGAAGGCAUCUCACCAGUACGGCUCCGACAGUGAUGAGCAAAAGCUGGGAGAGCAAACCG